GGCUGCAUCAUAGAGACGUCAUUAGCCAGCCCAGAAUUAGCCAGAGAUCUUGGUGGCUAAUGUAAUUCUGUGCAAAAUUGGCAUCAGACACCAGCACGCACAGCAUGCUGGCACUCAGACAGCCAACAGCACUACAGUACAGAUUCCUCCUCCCAGCCCGUCAUCUCUCUCAGGCAACAAGAUGGAGUGACAACAGUGGGGGAAGAUCAUGAGGGAGAACCUGGCUUUGGCGUUUCAGAUUAAGUUUUCAGGUAGGUUUUAGCAAAUACAUUUUUGUUGUUUGUGGUUACAGACCUGCA